rnacentral:rRNA from 1 species
UACGUAGGGGGCAAGCGUUGUCCGGAAUCAUUGGGCGUAAAGAGCGUGUAGGCGGCCCGGUAAGUCCGCUGUGAAAGUCCAGGGCUCAACCCCUGGGAUGCCGGUGGAUACUGUCGGGCUCGAGUCCGGAAGAGGAGUGUGGAAUUCCUGGUGUAGCGGUGGAAUGCGCAGAUAUCAGGAGGAACACCGAUGGCGAAGGCAGCUCGCUGGGACGGUACUGACGCUGAGGCGCGAAAGCGUGGGGAGCGAACAGG